CUUCCUGUUCAUGAAAGAUUCAUGCCCAUGGUCAACAUUGAAAUUUUCAGAUUAUACACUAAUUAGAGGAUCUGGUCUCUAGUUUAGACAAGAAGAUGAUAGCCAUUAAAACCUAGCUUGUUAACAGUAGUUUAACGUCAUAUUAUGCUUGCCAUUUGCUAAGUAAGAAAUAUACAAGAAAGGUAAAUUGCUGAGUUGUAUUAGGAAGGGGAAAAUGCAUUGUUCAAGAAGUGUUUGCUUGUUGGUCCUGACGCCUUUGUCAUCAAUACUUGUUAGAAUGAGCGACACAAACAUGACAAAUAAUAAAAUCACAUCUACGGACUACAAUAUGCUCAGUCUAGAGAUAUCUCAGUGGUUGUGAUUCAUGAUGAGGCCUCAGUACAAUGGAAUAAGGGCAUCUUGGCAUACACUGAGAAGGAAGAUGUUCCCAUAACAAGCUUUGUAAUGUGAUGUUGAUCAAUAAGCUCAACAAUGCCAUUUGCAACACUGUUCUUCUCAAUCACCAAUUUUUCAGCUUGCACCUGCAAAUUUGGUGAUUUUGCUGAGAUGACAUAGAAUGGGAAGCAACUUCUGAUUAGCAUAAAGGAUAUAAAAUAUUGCAUAGAUUUCUGUAAUUUGAUGUUCUUAUUCAAUCCACUUCAUCAGAACAAUUAGUCAUAAAGCUUAAUUUGUCUAGGCCUGGUACAAAAUGUGGUUAAAAUAUUGAUUGUUAUCUUUCCAUAAAUUGAUCCUCAAGCUGACCAUAGUUCACUUUGUUGAAAAAUAAAAUUCCCAUUUCAUAUGACUUGAGUGAGAGUGCUUAUCUGACCUUUGGAAAUGCUCUGCAGUAACUCAGGUACUGUUCUAAAAGUUUAUUCAUAUCGUCCUUCUCAAUCUUUCUGUAUGCUCUGAGCUCCUUUUCUUCUAGCUGUUUUGCAGGAACCUUACACAAGCCUGCAAGGAUGGCAUCAUCGCAGGAAACCAUGAGCACCGGCGUGGACUUCUUUUUUUUUUUUGGCAGAGCAACAUGUAACACUAAAACAAGUUCAUUGUUUGUAUGAUAGCUGCGGUACAGUCUCUUGAGAAGCAGGGCAUAUGGAAAAGAAAAAAUGUGUGUGCUGCUGCUUUCCCAAUUGAACAGACCAAAGGUGUCUUUCCCAGAAGUUGCAGAGAAAAACAACAAUUUGUGGAAAUGGAAAUACAACCGUUGUUGCCUGCUACGUGGCUGGUGGACAUGCAGCAGCACAAGAAGCUUGUUGACAUCACCCUGCUGAGGCUGGAGUUUCCUAGCUGCCCACUGGAUGUUGGCCUUGCCGUCCUUGAGGUCCUUGCCGACCGACACGUACUACCGGCUGAGGAGACAAGGGCGGCAAUGGUGACGACGACGACGACGGCAACGAAGAACGAGCACUUGCCACGGCCAUGCAGCGCAAACAACUUAAAUUAACUGCCCUGCCACCACACAACCGACAGAAUAAGAAGCAAACAACUGGGAGUAGCUAGCUAGGCAGGAGAAAGAACAAGUACCUACUAUAUCUUUGCUUGCUUUAUUAUAGUUUCUGCUGCUGCUGCUGCUGGAGGCGACGGCAACAACAAAGCAAACAAAAGGAUCGAAUCUCUCACAAAGGGGACUUUUGGCUUCGCUUGUAUGUCGUCUGGCAACUUUUAUAAACUCAUCUGCUUCAGUUAUUCGACAAAAGAAAGAAAAAUCUCUGUUAAAUCUA